AUGGUAUGUCCUUCAGUUACGAACGUUUAUUAUGGCCCUUGCGACCACGCUAGAAAAUCUGAAUUUCUAGAUUCCCUCAUCUCUCUCUCAAAUCUUAUUAAUUGCCCGUGGACAACUAUGGGAGAUUUUAAUCUUGUUUUGAGACCCUCUGACAAAUCAUCGUCAAAUUUCAGCGGUAAUGAAGCCCAAAAAUUCUCAUCCGCGAUCAACAAUCUUCAGGAAAUCCCUCUGUUGGAUAGGCUCUUUACUUGGUCUAAUCAACAAGAUAACCCGACUCUCGUUCGGUUGGACAGAUCUUCUGUUAAUUUAGAUUGGACCUUGAUGUUCCCUGACUCAACUCUUUCGUCCCUCGUACGCACUACCUCCGAUCACGUUCCUAUUUUACUGGCAGCCUCCACAACUAUUCCCAAGCCCUUGAUUUUCCGGCUCAACAAUUGUUUGCUGACAAAUCAGUCCUUCCUUCAGCAAAUCGCUUCAACAAAUUGGGCAAGUGUUGGGCCCAACCAUCACUCCUUGGGCUCCUCGGGCCGCCUUUGCCUGAAGCUUAAACGCACUCGCAAUAUGGCUAACAUGUGGGCUGUCAACCCAAAAGCUCCUAGGCGGAUGGCUACAAAUUGUACGACGACUAUUUCUGUGAUGGACAAACUAGAAGAAGUUCGACCGCUCUCUUCUCUUGAGCUUACUCUGCCACCGCCAUAA
rnacentral:rRNA from 1 species